rnacentral:rRNA from 1 species
UAAUUGGGGGAAGGUGGGGAUGACGUCAAAUCAUCAUGCCCCUUAUGUUUUGGGCUUCACGCAUGCUACAAUGGCCAGUACAAUGGGUUGCGAUACCGUGAGGUGGAGUUAAUCCCAAAAAACUGGUCUCAGUUCGGAUCGUGGUUUGCAACUCGACCACGUGAAGUCGGAGUCGCUAGUAAUCGCAGAUCAGCAACGCUGCGGUGAAUACGUUCCCGGGCCUUGUACACACCGCCCGUCAAGUCACGAAAGUUGGUAACACCCGAAGCCGGUGGCCUAACCCUUGUGGGGGGAGCCGUCGAAGGUGGGGACUGGCGAAUUGUGACUAAGUCGU